rnacentral:snoRNA from 1 species
UCAUAUGAUGACAAAAGGCCAAUUGGCCUGAAUCUAAUCCCAGCUCGUCGAAUGCCUCACAAUAACGCUAGAGUGCAUCAUGAGAUAAAAUUUGUUCUGAUAGA